UUCGUCUUGAUACUUACCGAUAGAAAAGGCGAUGCGCACUUGUUGAGUGACCCUAAAUUGGCCUUCGUUGCUAAGCCCUUGUAGUUGAUAAGGUUGUGGAUGCUUGGUAGUGGUUAAGCAAAGCUUUUCCACCAUCGUCGUGCUGGCUAUGUUCGAGCAAAUUUCACCAUCAAUAAUAACUCUACAAAGCUUACCUUGUACAUGGCAGCGAGUAUGAAAGAGAUGUUCUCGUUUCUGCUCGCUCUUUGGUUUUGCCAAAGAUGAUUGUCCACGAUCAUGAAAAUCAUCAUCCAUUCUAGGGACACGUUGAGGGUUGCACCUAUGGGGCUGGUUAUCCCUAUCUUCCUUAAUUGGAUCUCGAUAUUGAUGUUUUUGAUUCACUCGUACCUCAUUCAAAGUAGUAUUCAAUGCUUGAAGUGUAGCAUUUAUUUGUGUGAUUGCAGUAGUAUGUCCGUCUAACUGU
rnacentral:lncRNA from 1 species